rnacentral:rRNA from 1 species
GACGUAGGGCGCGAGCGUUGUCCGGAUUUAUUGGGCGUAAAGAGCUCGUAGGCGGCUUGGUAGGUCCGCUGUGAAAACUCGAGGCUCAACCUCGAGAUGUCGGCGGAAACCACUUGGCUAGAGUCCGGAAGAGGAGAGUGGAAUUCCUGGUGUAGCGGUGAAAUGCGCAGAUAUCAGGAAGAACACCUAUGGCGAAGGCAGCUCUCUGGGACGGUACUGACGCUGAGACGCGAAAGCGUGGGGAGCGAACAGG